GCUAACCUCCCACUGCAGCAACGUUAGCUGCUGUUUCAACAAUGUUUGGCUGAAAAAACUUUCAUGCAGGCUGAAAUUCAACCGAGCUGAAGACUUGAGGAAGCGCCUGGAUUGUCUGUGUAUAGACCUUUUUCACGGCAGACAUUUUGACACGUCAGAGUAGGAGCAACACAGGUGUGUUCAAUGACACUAAUGACAGCUGCGUUCCACUUAGGGGAGACCCUGGCAGAUUGAGGCUUAGCUGAUUGGGCAAACCUACGGGGACAGAUGAAUUAAGCAGCACUGAAGACAC